GACGAACGCUGGCGGCGUGGAUUAGGCAUGCAAGUCGAACGGUAUCAUCCUUUCGGGGGUGAGAGAGUGGCGAACUGGUGAGUAACACGUAGGUUAUCUACCCUCAAGACGGGGACAACCCAGGGAAACUUGGGCUAAUACCGGAUGUGAGCAACUUUUAGUUGUUUGAAAGGUGGCGUAAGCUGUCGCUUGGGGAUGAGCCUGCGUCCUAUUAGUUAGUUGGUGAGGUAACGGCUCACCUAGGCAAUGAUAGGUAGGCGGCCUUAACGGGUGGUCGCCCACACUGGGAUUGAGAUACGGCCCAGACUCCUACGGGAGGCAGCAGUCGAGAAUAGUCUACAAUGGUCGGAAGACUGAUAGUGCGACGCCGCGUGAACGAUGAAUCCCUUCGGGGUGUAAAGUUCUUUUAUAUGUGAGCAGUGCUUCUUAUAUUAACAGUAUGGGGAGAGGAGAUAUUAGCAUAUGAAUAAGCAACGGCUAACUCCGUGCCAGCAGCCGCGGUAAU
rnacentral:rRNA from 1 species